UAGAGUUUUGAUCCUGGCUCAGGAUGAACGCUAGCGGCAGGCCUAAUACAUGCAAGUCGAACGGUAUAAGUUGUAGCAAUAUGACUUAGAGAGUGACGUAAGGGUGCGUAACACGUAUGCAAUCUACCCUCAACAGGAGUAUAGCUCGGGGAAACUCGGAUUAACACUCCAUAAUAUCAUUUGAAGGCAUCUUCAGAUGAUUAAAACUGUGGUGGUUGAGGAUGAGCAUGCGUCUGAUUAGUUAGUUGGAGGUGUAACGGACCCCCAAGACGAUGAUCAGUAGGGGAACUGAGAGGUUGAUCCCCCACACUGGCACUGAGAUACGGGCCAGACUCCUACGGGAGGCAGCAGUAGGGAAUAUUGGUCAAUGGGUGAGAGCCUGAACCAGCCAUGCCGCGUGCAGGAAGACGGCCUUCUGGGUUGUAAACUGCUUUUAUCUGGGGAUAAAAAGCCCAUGCGUGGGACAUUGAAGGUACCAGAUGAAUAAGCACCGGCUAACUACGUGCCAGCAGCCGCGGUAAUAC
rnacentral:rRNA from 1 species